rnacentral:rRNA from 1 species
GCACUACAACGGGUGGAGCUUGCGGUUUAAUUGGAUUCAACGCCGGAAAUCUUACCGGGGCCGACAGCGAUAUGAAGGCCAGGCUAAGGACCUUGCCCGAUUAGCUGAGAGGUGGUGCAUGGCCGUCGUCAGUUCGUACUGUGAAGCAUCCUGUUAAGUCAGGCAACGAGCGAGACCCACGCCAACAGUUGCUAGCUCGUCCUCCGGGAUGGAGAGGACACUGUUGGGACCGCCUCUGCUAAAGAGGAGGAAGGAAUGGGCAACGGUAGGUCAGCAUGCCCCGAAUUGUCCGGGCUACACGCGGGCUACAAUGGGUGGGACAAUGGGUAUCGACACCGAAAGGUGAAGGCAAUCUCCUAAACCCAUCCUUAGUUCGGAUUGUGGGCUGCAACUCGCCCACAUGAAGCUGGAAUCCGUAGUAAUCGUGUUUCAAAAUAGCACGGUGAAUAUGUCCCUGCUCCUUGCACACACCGCCCGUCAAACCACCCGAGUGAGGUCUUGAUGAAGCCGUCGUUUUCUGCGGCGGUUGAAUCUAGGUUUUGCAAGGGGGGUU